GACGAACGCUGGCGGCGUGCUUAACACAUGCAAGUCGAACGGAAAGGCCCUGCUUUUGUGGGGUGCUCGAGUGGCGAACGGGUGAGUAACACGUGAGUAACCUGCCCUUGACUUUGGGAUAACUUCAGGAAACUGGGGCUAAUACCGGAUAGGAGCUCCUGCUGCAUGGCGGGGGUUGGAAAGUUUCGGCGGUUGGGGAUGGACUCGCGGCUUAUCAGCUUGUUGGUGGGGUAGUGGCUUACCAAGGCUUUGACGGGUAGCCGGCCUGAGAGGGUGACCGGCCACAUUGGGACUGAGAUACGGCCCAGACUCCUACGGGAGGCAGCUGUGGGGAAUAUUGCACAAUGGGCGGAAGCCUGAUGCAGCAACGCCGCGUGCGGGAUGACGGCCUUCGGGUUGUAAACCGCUUUCGCCUGUGACGAAGCGUGAGUGACGGUAAUGGGUAAAGAAGCACCGGCUAACUACGUG
rnacentral:rRNA from 1 species